GGAUCUAGUGGCGCACGGGUGCGUAACGCGUGGGAAUCUGCCCUUGGGUUCGGAAUAACAUCUGGAAACGGAUGCUAAUACCGGAUGAUGACGUAAGUCCAAAGAUUUAUCGCCCAAGGAUGAGCCCGCGUACGAUUAGCUAGUUGGUGAGGUAAAGGCUCACCAAGGCUACGAUCCUUAGCUGGUCUGAGAGGAUGAUCAGCCACACUGGGACUGAGACACGGCCCAGACUCCUGCGGGAGGCAGCAGUAGGGAAUAUUGGACAAUGGGGGCAACCCUGAUCCAGCAAUGCCGCGUGAGUGAUGAAGGCCUUAGGGUUGUAAAGCUCUUUUACCCGAGAUGAUAAUGACAGUAUCGGGAGAAUAAGCUCCGGCUAACUCCGUGCCAGCAGCCGCGGUAAUACGGAGGGAGCUAGCGUUGUUCGGAAUUACUGGGCGUAAAGCGCACGUAGGCGGUUAUUUAAGUCAGAGGUGGAAGCCCGGGGCUCAACCCCGGAACUGCCUUUGAGACUGGAUAACUUGAAUCCAGGAGAGGUGAGUGGAAUUCCNGAGUGUAGAGGUGAAAUUCGUAGAUAUUCGGAAGAACACCAGUGGCGAAGGCGGCUCACUGGACUGGUAUUGACG
rnacentral:rRNA from 1 species